GGGGAUGUAGCUCAGUUGGGAGAGCGCUUGAAUCGCACUCAAGAGGUCGGGGGUUCGAAUCCCCCCAUCUCCACCA
rnacentral:tRNA from 7 species